rnacentral:tRNA from 1 species
GGGGAUGUAGAUCAGUGGCAGAGUGCAUGCCUAGCAUGUAUGAGGUACUGAGUUUGAUCCUUAGCACUGCA